AGUUAAGUAAUUAAGCGUAUAUGGUGAAUGCCUUGGCAGUCAGAGGCGAUGAAGGACGUGCUAAUCUGCGAAAAGCGUCGGUAAGGUGAUAUGAACCGCUAUAACCGGCGAUAUCCGAAUAGGGAAACCUGGUGUACAAAGAUACAUCAUCACAACAUAAAUACAUAGUGUUGUGAAGCAAACCGAAGGAACUGAAACAUCUAAGUACUUCGAGGAAAAGAAAUCAACCGAGAUUCCCUUAGUAGUGGCGAGCGAAAGGGGAACAGCCCAGAGCCUUAAUCAAAAUAUGAAGUAGUAGAACAAUUUGGAAACAUUGACGAUACAGGGUGAUAGUCCCGUAUAAUUAAACUUUAUAUAUUGUGAGCUCAAUGAGUAGGACGGGACACGUGAUAUCCUGUUUGAAUAAAGGGGGACCAUCCUCUAAGGCUAAAUACUCCUGACUGACCGAUAGUGAACUAGUACCGUGAGGGAAAGGUGAAAAGAACCCCGGCGAGGGGAGUGAAAUAGAACCUGAAACCAUAUACGUACAAGCAGUAGAAGCACUUUUAAGUGUGACUGCGUACCUUUUGUAUAAUGGGUCAGCGAGUUAUAUUUUGCAGCAAGGUUAACUGAAUAAGGGAGCCGUAGGGAAACCGAGUCUUAAAUGGGCAUUAAGUUGCAAGAUAUAGACCCGAAACCUGGUGAUCUAGCCAUGGGCAGGUUGAAGGUUGGAUAAUACCAACUGGAGGACCGAACCGACUAAUGUUGAAAAAUUAGCGGAUGACCUGUGGUUAGGGGUGAAAGUCCAAUCAAACCAGGAGAUAGCUGGUUCUCCCCGAAAGCUAUUUAGGUAGCGCCUCAUGUAUCAUCUUCGGGGGUAGAGCACUGUUUCGCUUAGGGGGCUUUCCAAGCCUACCAACUCGAUGCAAACUACGAAUACCGAAGAAUGUAAUCAUGGGAGACACACGGCGGGUGCUAACGUCCGUCGUGGAGAGGGAAACAACCCAGACCGCCAGCUAAGGUCCCUAAAUCAUAAUUAAGUGGGAAACGAUGUGGGUAGGCUUAGACAGCCAGGAUGUUGGCUUAGAAGCAGCAAUCAUUUAAAGAAAGCGUAAUAGCUCACUGGUCGAGUCAGCCUGCGCGGAAGAUGUAACGGGGCUAAAUUAUGUACCGAAGCUGCGGCAACAACUUAAAAAUUGUUGGGUAGGGGAGCGUUCUGUAAGCUUAUGAAGGUAAUUUAAAAAAAUUACUGGAGGUAUCAGAAGUGCGAAUGCUGACAUGAGUAACGAUAAAGUAGGUGAAAAACCUACUCGCCGAAAAACUAAGGUUUCCUGUCCAACGUUAAUCGGGGCAGGGUAAGUCGAUUUCUAAGACGAGACCGCAAGGUGUAGUCGAUGGUGAACAGGUUAAUAUUCCUGUACUUAGUAUUACUGCCAAGGGGGGACGAAGAAGGCUAUGUUAGCCAAGUGACGGUUUAUCUUGGUUUAAACAUGUAGAUUGACUUUUUAGGUAAAUCCGAAAAGUUAAAAUUGAGGUGUGAUAACAAAGUACUCAGGUACCUAAGUAACAAAUGCCACACUUCCAAGAAAAGCCUCUAAGCUAUAGGUAAUACUAAAUCGUACCUCAAACCGACACAGGUAGUAAAGUAGAGAAUACUCAGGCGCUUGAGAGAACUCGGGUGAAGGAACUAGGCAAAAUAGUGCCGUAACUUCGGGAGAAGGCACACUAAUAUUAGGUGAAAGGAUUAACUCCCAGAGCUGAGAUUAGUCUAAGAUACCAGCUGGCUGCAACUGUUUAUUAAAAACAUAGCACUGUGCAAACACGAAAGUGGACGUAUACGGUGUGAUGCCUGCCCGGUGCCGGAAGGUUAAUUGAUGGAGUUAUCGAAAGAAAAGCUCCUGAUCGAAGCCCCGGUAAACGGCGGCCGUAACUAUAACGGUCCUAAGGUAGCGAAAUUCCUUGUCGGGUAAGUUCCGACCUGCACGAAUGGCGUAAUGAUGGCCAGGCUGUCUCCACCCGAGACUCAGUGAAAUUGAAAUCGCUGUGAAGAUGCAGUGUACCCGCGGCAAGACGGAAAGACCCCGUGAACCUUUACUAUAGCUUGGCAAUGAAUAUUGAAUCUUGAUGUGUAGGAUAGGUGGGAGACUAAGAAAUGUGGACGCUAGUUUACAUGGAGUCAACCUUGAAAUACCACCCUUUGAUAUUCAAUAUUCUAACGUAAUUCCGUAAUCCGGAAUGCGGACAUUGUCUGGUGGGUAGUUUGACUGGGGCGGUCUCCUCCCAAAGAGUAACGGAGGAGUACAAAGGUCAGCUAAUCACGGUCGGAUAUCGUGAGGUUAGUGCAAAGGCAUAAGCUGGCUUAACUGUGAGCGUGACAACGCGAACAGAUGCGAAAGCAGGUCUUAGUGAUCCGGUGGUUCUGCAUGGAAGGGCCAUCGCUCAACGAAUAAAAGGUACUCCGGGGAUAACAGGCUAAUACCGCCCAAGAGUUCAUAUCGACGGCGGUGUUUGGCACCUCGAUGUCGGCUCAUCACAUCCUGGGGCUGUAGUAGGUCCCAAGGGUAUGGCUGUUCGCCAUUUAAAGUGGUACGCGAGCUGGGUUUAGAACGUCGUGAGACAGUUCGGUCCCUAUCUGCCGUGGGCGUUGGAAAAUUGAAGGGGGUUGCUUCUAGUACGAGAGGACCGAAGUGAACGUACCUCUGGUGUUCGGGUUGUCAUGCCAAUGGCAUUGCCCGGUAGCUAAGUACGGAAAAGAUAAGUGCUGAAAGCAUCUAAGCACGAAACUUGCCCUAAGAUGAGUUUUCCCUGAGGUUAUUAUACCUCCUAAAGGGACGUUGAAGACAACGACGUUGAUAGGCUGGAUGUGUAAGCAUAGUGAUGUGUUGAGCUAACCAGUACUAAUGACCCGUGAGACUUAACUUCACA
rnacentral:rRNA from 1 species